AAUAUUCUCAUUAAAUCCCCUGAUGAGUGGGCAACCACGAAACAGACCUGUAGGGAAACCUAUGUAGUUUGUAUUUUUCUCAAACUAACACAAUUAAAUAUAUAUAUAUCUUUGGAUUAAUUUCAAUGCAAUAUAUUAGUUCCAGGAAAACAAGGAGUUAAGACCAAGAAGACCACUGCUGUUAAAGAACCAUCUUCAGAAUUGACUUGAAAUGCGGAGGCAUUCUCUAUCAUGGCGAAUAAUGACGACACUGAUGACGAAGCCCUAACUGCCAUGCUAUCAGCCUUGGCUGACGCCCAGACGAUUCCCAUGUUGUCACCCAUAAAGCCGCCCCGGAAACGGCCCGCUGAAGCAAUUCCCGAGCCACAGAACAAACGACCCAAACCCAGCAACUUGUGCAGCCUGUUGCUUUUUUCCGCUAGGAUCUUGUUAAAAAGAUUUGUAGUGAGCACUUCACGACGCUCACUCAGUCUAACAAAUCUCAAGCCUUCCUGAUCACCUAUGUACUGGGGCACUGGUCAGUGUCACGACAGGAAGACCCAAGUAUGGCAGCAGUGGAAGAGACCAAGACAAUGGUAUUGCCACUUUAGCGAGAAAGUGUUGUGGUGAAGGUGAUUCUGCCCUUUUUUUCUACCUUCAGCCAUUGCAACCAUCUUACAAGAAGGACGACACUGCAUCAUGGUUUCCAUGGACAGAAAAGGAGCUACUACGUAGCAGAGUUUUUGCUAAUUUAGAAGAUUUAGAAGAGAAUGUAGAUGAAGGAGGCAGAACUGAUUAAUAUAACCAGUAAAUUUAAGAAACUAAAGGGUGAACAGAUUCUUAUCUUUCUUUCUAUUCUUAUGUUCAAAUGUUUUGGAUAUUCCGAGCGAAAAUAGGGCUACCUUUGACUAAUAAUCUAAUGCAACCUUUCUUGUAUUUAUUGAUAAUUUAUUUUUUUAAAGAAUAAGUAGCAGGACACGAGGGCCAGAAAUUCCGUGCUCGUGGCUUUUCGUCGGCCAGGGGGACUAGUGGGCCAGAAAUUCCAUGCUCAUGACUGUUCGUGAGCCAGAAAUUCCGUGCUCGUGGCAUGACUAGUGGGCCAGAAAUUCCGUGCACGUGGCAUGACUAGUGGGCCAGAAAUUUCGUGCUUGUGACAUGACUAUAGUGGGCCAGAUGUUCCGUGCUCAUGGCAUGACUAGUGGGCCAGAAAUUCUGUACUCGUUGAAUAAAUAUUGGUCCAGAAAUUCCGUGCCCAUGGCAUGACUGUAUUGGGCUAGAAAUUCUUUGCUAUAGGCAUGACGAGUGGGCCAGAAAUUCUGUGGUCGUUGGCCCGCGGUGGUCCAAGUGGCACAGAGAAAUGCGACCAUAUACAGUAACCACAGAAUGCAAAAUGCAAAAUGCAAAAUGAGAAUAAUUCAAAAUAUUUAAGAAUGUGUUAUAGGUGUGUCUGAUUUCAUGAAUCCUGGAAUUCAAACAGGCAUCAUGAUCCUUCAGAUUCCGCUGUAAUCCAUAAGUUUCUUUAGUACGACAUUGUGCUCUUUGAUGUCGUGAUUCAAGCGGCGACUAUCACUAAGCUUCAGCUGGUAUUCAAAGUUUAAAAUAUCGCUCGCACAUGCUUUGCACCCAUCGGCUUACAUAAUUAUUUUCUUCUCCAACACCAUCAAGUCAUAUUGUCGGGAUCAUCAUGUAAUAUUUUGAUCUUUCUCCAGUCGGAUUGGCAAUAUAUCCGAGACGCAGACUUUGAAGCUUCUCAACUAAAAAAACUAAAUUAAAAGAGAAGAGAAACCAGGAUUGUGAAACAUAUGGGAAACAGACGAGGUGCAGUUGAAAUAGUUUGUGGUUGGUGGAAAGGGGAGGGGGCAAGUGAAAAAAUACAUGGCAUUGGGGAGAGGUCACUCAGAUAAAUACAUAGAUUGUGGGGUAGGUCACCAAAAAGAUGGGCUUCUAAAAUGUCCUUGAAUAGAAUUCCUUGCACAUAUCCUUUUCGCUAAGAAACAAGUCAUGCUAUUGUCCAGGAAAAAGACAAUAGUUGUAAGUUCUACGUGGGUCCCACGGGUCUCUUCGGAACAGCAAACCUUUUUUGCCAGAGAAUACUCCUAGGACUUGUUUAUAUUGCAAAACUAAAACUUAAAACAAAAUGCCUGAAACAAGUGAAAAUAUAACAGAAAAGUGCCCUAGUUGCGUCGCUUGUCGGUAUUGCGAAAGUCAAAUCAAUUAUUAAUUAUAGGUCAAAGAAAUUAGUUGUAAGUUCUACGUGGCUCCCAUGGGUCAAUAGGGAGACACAGAUAUAAAAGUAGGAAAAAACAGGAAGAGACAGAGCAGACGACCCUGUGGGAGUUCAACUAGGAGCGAAUAAAGUAAGCACAAACAA